UACGUAGGGUGCAAGCGUUAAUCGGAAUUACUGGGCGUAAAGCGUGCGCAGGCGGCUAUGCAAGACAGAUGUGAAAUCCCCGGGCUCAACCUGGGAACUGCAUUUGUGACUGCAUAGCUAGAGUACGGUAGAGGGGGAUGGAAUUCCGCGUGUAGCAGUGAAAUGCGUAGAUAUGCGGAGGAACACCGAUGGCGAGGGCAAUCCCCUGGGCCUGCACUGACGCUCAUGCACGAAAGCGUGGGGAGCAAACAGG
rnacentral:rRNA from 1 species